AAAGGGCAUUUUUUUUUCAAAGAAGCAACAGCAACUGAGUCGGUCAAAACAACCGAGUCCACCUCAUCCUCCACCUGUGCCCACAGCUAUUUUCUUGGAUUUCGUUUCUCCAACCCACUCUGUUCAUGACUCCAAAACUCGCCCAAAAACGUCUUGGCUGCAUCCAAACUCGGGAAAUAAGUCGGCUCCAGGAACAGCUGACUCAGUGAGUCGCAAGUUUCAGGACUCGCCAAA
rnacentral:misc_RNA from 1 species